ACCGGCAGCUCAAGUGGUGGCCAUUUUUAUUGGGCCUAAAGCGUUCGUAGCCGGUUUGAUAAGUCUCUGGUGAAAUCCCGCAGCUUAACUGUGGGACUUGCUGGAGAUACUAUUAGACUUGAGGUCGGGAGAGGUUAGGGGUACUCCCAGGAUAGAGGUUAAAUCAUAUAAUCCUGGGAGGGCGAACUGAGGCGAAGGCGCGUAAACGGAACGAGCCUGACGGUGAGUACCGAAAUACAGUGACGCGAGCCG
rnacentral:rRNA from 1 species